AGACCCGAAACCCGGUGAUCUAGCCAUGGGCAGGUUGAAGGUUGGGUAACACUAACUGGAGGACCGAACCGACUAAUGUUGAAAAAUUAGCGGAUGACCUGUGGCUGGGGGUGAAAGGCCAAUCAAACCGGGAGAUAGCUGGUUCUCCCCGAAAGCUAUUUAGGUAGCGCCUCGUGAAUUCAUCUCCGGGGGUAGAGCACUGUUUCGGCUAGGGGGCCAUCCCGGCUUACCAACCCGAUGCAAACUGCGAAUACCGGAGAAUGUUAUCACGGGAGACACACGGCGGGUGCUAACGUCCGUCGUGAAGAGGGAAACAACCCAGACCGCCAGCUAAGGUCCCAAAGUCAUGGUUAAGUGGGAAACGAUGUGGGAAGGCCCAGACAGCCAGGAUGUUGGCUUAGAAGCAGCCAUCAUUUAAAGAAAGCGUAAUAGCUCACUGGUCGAGUCGGCCUGCGCGGAAGAUGUAACGGGGCUAAACCAUGCACCGAAGCUGCGGCAGCGACGCUUAUGCGUUGUUGGGUAGGGGAGCGUUCUGUAAGCCUGUGAAGGUGGCCUGUGAGGGUUGCUGGAGGUAUCAGAAGUGCGAAUGCUGACAUAAGUAACGAUAAAGCGGGUGAAAAGCCCGCUCGCCGGAAGACCAAGGGUUCCUGUCCAACGUUAAUCGGGGCAGGGUGAGUCGACCCCUAAGGCGAGGCCGAAAGGCGUAGUCGAUGGGAAACGGGUUAAUAUUCCCGUACUUGGUGUUACUGCGAAGGGGGGACGGAGAAGGCUAUGUUGGCCGGGCGACGGUUGUCCCGGUUUAAGCGUGUAGGCUGGUUUUCCAGGCAAAUCCGGAAAAUCAAGGCUGAGGCGUGAUGACGAGGCACUACGGUGCUGAAGCAACAAAUGCCCUGCUUCCAGGAAAAGCCUCUAAGCAUCAGGUAACAUCAAAUCGUACCCCAAACCGACACAGGUGGUCAGGUAGAGAAUACCAAGGCGCUUGAGAGAACUCGGGUGAAGGAACUAGGCAAAAUGGUGCCGUAACUUCGGGAGAAGGCACGCUGACACGUAGGUGAAGUGAUUUACUCAUGGAGCUGAAGUCAGUCGAAGAUACCAGCUGGCUGCAACUGUUUAUUAAAAACACAGCACUGUGCAAACACGAAAGUGGACGUAUACGGUGUGACGCCUGCCCGGUGCCGGAAGGUUAAUUGAUGGGGUCAGCGCAAGCGAAGCUCCUGAUCGAAGCCCCGGUAAACGGCGGCCGUAACUAUAACGGUCCUAAGGUAGCGAAAUUCCUUGUCGGGUAAGUUCCGACCUGCACGAAUGGCGUAAUGAUGGCCAGGCUGUCUCCACCCGAGACUCAGUGAAAUUGAACUCGCUGUGAAGAUGCAGUGUACCCGCGGCAAGACGGAAAGACCCCGUGAACCUUUACUAUAGCUUGACACUGAACAUUGAGCCUUGAUGUGUAG
rnacentral:rRNA from 1 species